rnacentral:rRNA from 1 species
CUGCUUUUAUCAGGGAAGAACAGCAGUGGUGCGCCAUUGUGUGACGGUACCUGAGGAAUAAGCACCGGCUAACUCCGUGCCAGCAGCCGCGGUAAUACGGAGGGUGCAAGCGUUGUCCGGAUUUAUUGGGUUUAAAGGGUGCGUAGGUGGUUUUCUAAGUCUGGUUUGAAAGCUGGUCGCUUAACGAUCAGAUGUGGCUGGAAACUGGAGGACUUGAAUGCGUUGGCGGUAGCCGGAAUGGGUCAUGUAGCGGUGAAAUGCAUAGAUAUGACCCGGAACACCGAUUGCGAAGGCAGGCUACUACGACGAUAUUGACACUGAGGCACGAGAGCAUGGGUAGCGAACAGGAUUAGAUACCCUGGUAGUCCAUGCCGU